GCAGAGAGAGAGAGAAUCCCAAGCAAGCUCCAUGCUGUCAGCACAGAUGCAGGGCUCGAUCCUACAAACCACGAGAACAUGACCUGAGCUGAAAUCAAGAGUCAGACGCUCAAGCAACUGAGCCACCCAGGUGCCCCUUAUUUGGGCUCUUUUAGAUUAGUCCCCAGUGUUUGGAGAAUUUAAGAGCUUUAUAUUUUUUACAGCGUGUUUUGCUGAAAAUAACUCUUGAUUUAAAUGUGGCUCUUUAUGAAAUGAAGUCAAGGAAUUCAGCAAUUUCUCUGGCCCAAGGUCCAAGUGAGCAUGGACUGUGUCCCUGGCCCUGUGGUAGGAUUUGCAAUGAGGUUUCUGUAGAAGCAGAGGCAGGAAAAGAUUAGAAGAAAAGUACAAAGUUUGGAUAAAAGGAUUAAAAGUGAGCCGUCAGUGCAAUAAAACCAGAGAAGGAGCACCUUUCUGGAGACAGCAGUUUUUAUGAUCUGAGCUAAGUAGAAAUGGUGUGCUCACAAGCCUUCCAGAUCCCUGAAGGCAUUCUGAUUGGGUCAGGCGUCCGAGAAGGGAGCCAGGUGGGGACAGCGCCAUGGUCUGAAUGUGUGUCUCCCCCACCUCCGCCCCCACCAAAUUCAUACGUUGAAGCCUAAUGCUCAGUGUUGACGGUACCUGGAAGUAGGGCUUUCGGGGGGUGAUUAUGUCAUGAGGGACAGCCCCUUAGCUUGGGGUUACUGCCUGGUACAAGACUCCCCAGAGAGCUAGCUCCUCUGUUCUGCCAUGUAGGUAACGGCGAGAAGAUGACCACCUAUGAGAAAGUAGACCCUCACCAGACACCGUAUCUGCCAGCACCUUGAUCUUGGAUUCCCAGCCUCCAGAACGCAUCACAGUAAGACUUGAAUUUAAGCUUCUCCCAGACACAGAAGAAAGACGAUUCCAAACCGUUUUGGCCACAGGGAGGUUACACAGCAUCUCAGCCACAUGCCGCUUCCUCCAGCCCCCUGUUUUUGGUUCUUCCUCUGCACAUGCCCACUCCGCUCCACGCAUCUUGCCAGUUGCUGGGGAAGCAACGGUGAAAAAAUCACUCAGUUGAGCUGCCGCAGCGUGACAAGCGGGCUUUGACAUCGACAACUUGUCUUUCUAGCCCUGCAUGAUAGGCAGGGCUAUCUUGCUGAAGAUUUUUUCAAGUGACAGUUUACGAUCCAAAUUAAAGUGAAAUCCAAGUAUGAACAGGGAGUACCAAUGUCAGCCAAGGACAAAUGGCUCAAUGGAUGCUAUUCAUGAAUGGCACAACCUGCCUGGCAGCUGGCAAGGUUCUUUAAUGAGAAGAAGAAGACAAAUCUCCAUUUCAGGAAGUCUAAAAUGGUUUGUGUGUUGGCCGUGGGGCAUCUGUGUGUUACAUGAUCUCACUCCAUUCUGGAAGAUGAGGUAUGGAUUCCAGACAGCCCACUCUAUUCUAAGACACUUGAGGGCAGGGACUGUCUUUUAUUUGUAUCUCCAUCCCCAGGGCCCACCUAGUACAGCUCCAAACAGCACAUGUUCCACAAAUGUUGUGAUGAAAGGAAGUACUCAGGAAAGAUUAACCAGUGAGAUACAUCGUUAAGAAAACAAAAAACAAAAA